UUCCGUGGAUCCUCGCCACCAAAGCCGUCAUUCUCACACACGGAAUCUGGCCUCGACCAACGCCAUUCGUUUUUCAUUAGGUAAACAUCAUCGCCGUCGUAAAAUUACAAAGCAUCAACAGCGAUUGUCAUCAAAAACAUCCUCAUCGGAAUUAGUAUCGUCAUCCGUAUCAGAAGGCCCAUCGUCGUAAUCAUCAUCAAGGGCACCGUUAUCGUUCGUGAGUCUCAUUUGAGACACCGCUGCACGGUUACAUAAGUGACCACGAUCGUUCGUUAUAAAAUAUCCUGCGGGUCGCAACCAAAUAUUCCGCCAUCCUCGCCACGCGCCGAGUCCCAUUGGCCCCGAGCGACCACCCAAUCGAGUUCGUGACUCCAGAAGCCGGCUCGCUCUCACUCGCCGUGCCCAGCUCCGAGUCAUCCUCCUGCUCCUCCUCUCACCCUCCACUCUCACGGUUCGCGUCCUCUUCCCAGGGUCGGCGUCAUUCACGUGGCCAUGGCUCUUCUUCGUCGGGCGCAGGGAGCGAUGCUCCGGGCAGCUUUGCAGGGUCCUUCUCGAGUCGCGGUCCCCCGUGCCGCAAUUCAUUCGGGACCCCCAGAAGUGAAGAUCGGAGUUAGGGAUACCGUGUUCACGCUGGGCGUGUUCGUCCUCACCAUCACGGGCCCGUCCGGAUGGAUUCUCUCGCACCUGCGCGUCUACCGCGGCAAGGAGUAGAGAGGCGCCCAGAGAGAGAAGACGCCUACGGGAGACCCGGUCAAGAGACACGGAGGAGGAAGAGGUGGAGGAGGGGGACGUUGCAGGAUCUUGAAGGAGGAGACCAACAUCAGCCUUGAGUUCACGCCACUGCGUCCGAUUGACCGUAUUAACCGAGGCUUAAUUCAUAUCUCACCGAUUUUUUUUCCGGGUAGACUGGGGUAGGUGACUAGCGAGCAGCAGCCGUAGCGAGAUGUAUACUUGAUGUGGUGUGCCGGGUGCAACAACAAUGCCUGUGUCAAUGUUCUUCCACGUGGUCAUUACUUUAGCACGACCGACAUGUGAUUAAGGAAAAUGUGCAGCCCUUUGUCAAAUGCACUGCCGGAUGAAGGCCUCACUAAUGCCGUGUGGGCCACGGGGGUAGUUUGAGCAUACUUCACCCCGCUGGUCAGUGCGGGUUGGUCGCUGUCCAGGAUCAUCGUCGUGUUGCAAGAACAGCAACAUUCGAAUCCUCUUGCCAAAGUAAGAGCGGCAAGUGUGAUUACGCGUGUGGUUUGCAUCAUCGCGUGACUGCGUGAUGGUUAAUAGGCACGUGCGAUUAUGAUGAUGAUGCUGCUGAUGAUGAUGUGUGGAUUAAUCGCAGCGUGACGGCGUGAUGAUCGGGAGUUGCGUGUGGGUGGCUAUGUGGCUUUGUGAGGUUUUUCUCGUGCCCCAGGUGCAGGCAGUCGUGGGUUGACGCUAGUGGGUAGCAGAUGAACCCGAUGUGUCUACGUUCGAUAUCUGGACCUUGUGUAUCCCCCAAAAAAUGCUUGAAAUGUGUCAGAAUUGUGACCGCAUUAAAAACAAAUCGACAACGUGCACUACAAUGCGCGUUGGUUGUAACUGCUAUCACA